GCGGGUGUGGUGUAGCCUGGUAACACGCGAGCUUGCCAAGCUCGUGCCUCGGGUCCAAAUCCCGGCACCCGCAC
rnacentral:tRNA from 1 species